GACGAACCGUGCAAACGUUGUUCGGAAUCACUGGGCUUAAAGGGCGCGUAGGCGGGUUCCCAAGUCGGUGGUGAAAUCUUUCAGCUCAACUGGAAAAGUGCCGCCGAUACUGGGAGUCUUGAGGGAGGUAGGGGUCGGGGGAACUAAUGGUGGAGCGGUGAAAUGCGUAGAUAUCUGCAGGAACACCCGUGGCGAAGGCGGCUGGCUGGAUCGCAACUGACGCUGAGGAACGAAAGCUAGGGG
rnacentral:rRNA from 1 species